CCAGCCCAACCCACCCGGGCGCGGUCAGGUACUGAGAGAAAGAGAAAGAGAGAUCCUGGGGGCCCCAGCUCAGAAGGGAACAGGCAGGGAGUGGGGCAUCUGGCAGGCCGUCAGCUAGUCGACUGCAGCCAAGGAAUAUAGACAAGCCUCCUGGAACUUGAAGCCAAAGCUCUUCUGCUUCCCAGAACAGAACUGUAGGGAGAGGGAACAAACAGUUUCUGUUUAAAAUAUUAGGUUAUGUAUUAAUAAUAUUUCUCCUGAUCGAUUUAUCUAUUCGCUUGUUUUGGACUAAAAUGCCACCCACCAUUUUGAUAUCUUCUGGAUGCUUAGUCAUCCCUUGUAAAUGUGGAUGACCUCAGAUGUACAGUGUUAAGGGAAUGUGGAAUGGAAAGAUCUGGCUGAAUCCAUUCAUUCCUUUAACAUGCUUAUUUAGCAUCUACUGCAUCUUUCUAAGGCCUGAAACUACAAACAAACAAAAAUUCCUGCUUUCAAGGGGCUUAUUCUCUAAAGGGAGAAACAUACAUAAAAAUAACCAGGGGAUAUAACAUAUAGAUCUAAAUCUAUCUAUAUCCAUAUUAUCGAUCACAACAUCUUUAUCUGUCGAUAGCCACAAAUAGAUUAUAGGCAUAGCUUAUUAGAUGGGUAGAUACAUCUAUACAUUAUAGAUAUAUAACGUAUCUAGUUAUUUUCAUGAUGUUUUCCCCCUCAAGAAUAAAGAUAAGUUUAUGGAUAUAGAUAUAGAUAUAGAUAUGGAGAUAAAUAUCUCAUAUAUAUAAUAUAUGGGAGACACUAUUAGCUAUCUGGGACAAACUGGGAGAGAUCUAGUGCUGAAGCUGAGAUUUGAGCUGAGUCUUGAAAGAAGCCUGGAAGACUCAAAGGAAGAAGUAAAGAGAAGCAUUCCAGAGACAAGGAUGACAGGACCAGGCAUUCAUGUCUGAGGAAGAUGACUCCAUAUUAUCAAGCCAUCAUUUUUCAAUACUCUAAAUGCCCUGAGCUAAACCCCUUGUAGCUACUUGAGAAGAACAUGGACAAGAAUUACAGAGGAUGAGAAGGCU